AUUGAACGCUGGCGGCAGGCUUAACACAUGCAAGUCGAACGAUGAAGAUAUAGCUUGCUAUAUCGGAUUAGUGGCGGACGGGUGAGUAACACUUAGGAAUCUACCUUUUAGCGGGGGAUAGCUCGGGGAAACUCGAAUUAAUACCGCAUAAUUUCUACGGAAUAAAGAGGGCUUUUAGCUCUCACUAGAAGAUGAGCCUAAGUAAGAUUAGCUAGUUGGUGGGGUAAAAGCCUACCAAGGCGACGAUCUUUAGCUGGUCUGAGAGGAUGAUCAGCCACACUGGGACUGAGACACGGCCCAGACUCCUACGGGAGGCAGCAGUGGGGAAUAUUGGACAAUGGGGGCAACCCUGAUCCAGCCAUGCCGCGUGUGUGAAGAAGGCCUUUUGGUUGUAAAGCACUUUAGGCAGUGAAGAAGACCUAUUGGUUAAUACCCAAUAGCGAUGACAUUAACUGCAGAAUAAGCACCGGCUAACUCUGUGCCAGCAGCCGCGGUAAUACAGAGGGUGCAAGCGUUAAUCGGAAUUACUGGGCGUAAAGCGAGCGUAGGUGGUUAAAUAAGUCAGAUGUGAAAGCCCUGGGCUCAACCUAGGAACGGCAUCUGAAACUAUUUAACUAGAGUAGGUGAGAGGGAAGUAGAAUUUCAGGUGUAGCGGUGAAAUGCGUAGAGAUCUGAAGGAAUACCGAUGGCGAAGCAGCUUCCUGGCAUCAUACUGACACUGAGCUCGAAAGCGUGGGUAGCAAACAGG
rnacentral:rRNA from 1 species